UCUUCUUUGGUCUUUUCUUUAGUCUCAUCUCUAACUUCAAUUCUAGCUAGAAGUGCAUGUACAUCUAGCAAAUUUCGUUCGAUCAAAAGAUCGAUGUAGAUUUCUUCCCAAUACCAAAAACUGCAUCCCACCUACACAUUGGCGGUGCCAGGAUCAAAACCUUGUGAUGUCAAGCUUUACUAAUGAACUUUGUUUAGAUCAUAAACAGAAGCAAAAAAUAACAUACUUUACUACAAACAAACAUAUCUAUGAUAGUAGUGCUUUGGGAUCAUGCAUACUUUGAUAUGUUGUGAGCAUCAAUAGGAGUUUGUUCUUCCCCCAUUUUUAGGCGAUUGUUGUGAGGAAUUUGCAACAUUUGGCUUGGACUGCCACUUCUUUACGAAUUUAUCCAUUUAUCAAACCAAAGACCUGACAAGAUAAGAAAAACAAAAUAUGCAAUUCUUAUUCUUAAUAAAAAAAAAAUCUCUUGCUUCCUGAAUCCUAAUAUUGCUAGUGAGAGAAAAAAAUGGAAGAUAAAGGGAAGCAGAUAAAUAAAUAAUAAAACUUAUAAAUAGAAGUGGAGGGUCUCGUCCUGAAGUUGGAUCGGAUAGAGUAGUGACUAGUACAACCGUAUUGAUCAAUUGAUUCUCGCGCUGUCGCACACUAUGCGUGUGCAGCCGCGGGUGCGUCGUCGCUCGCGGCUCGCCAGACUGCUGGGACGGUCAUGAGUUAGUACCGGAUGUUGAAGGAGAUCACGUAAUUUGGGAAUCAACGCAGUUAAGGGAUUUCGGACUUCUUGCUAGCGGCCCAACCAAUUGUUACCUAAGCAGAGAAUAACACGAUAGAUGAGCCUGUGUACUUGAAAUUCCAAAUUCAGCUUGUCAUAUGCAGACCUGGAUCAACUACGUACGAAAAUCCUGUCUAGUCAAGCCACUACACACGUAUAACGUGGCUUCGCCACUGCACCUACACACAAAUUUGAGCUAAUAAGCUAACAAAAUUUCGGGAGUCCGAAUGCAAAACCAAGCCAAAAAACGGAUAUACCUCAUCGUUUUUGCACUUGAUGAACACCCAUUGGGGAUGUUCGGCGUCGUAGAGACGCCCUGUCAUAUCAGGGGCCCUGUGCAAAACCAAAGAGAGGGGCCCCAUGCACAUAAAAUAUGUACUGAAAUAGUUAAUCCUGCAUUUUUUUAUUACAAAGUCGAUAUAGAUAAUACUUUGUUGAUUACAGAUUAUGACACACACUCUCACUAUAUGAUCCCAACACUGCAAAAGAUGAAAUGCAAAUUACAUAAGGAAAUUACAUGAUUUCUAGAUGACAUCUUAGCAAAAAAAUAGUAUACUCGUCAAAAGCCAAGGCAAAAAAUUGGAUUAAAAGUACCUACAAACUGCAGUCUGAAGAGUGAACACCCAAAGAAUGGUGGCAGAAGAACCUGAUUGCUGUCGAAUGGACUGCUCGUCUACUCCGAUCCAGGUCUGCUACGAUCUCCCCGCGAACGAAAUCCCCUUCACAGCUACAUGAACAGCUUGGGCGUGAUAUCAGGGGAUCAAGCCCAUGAGCAGCUUGGGCGUGAUAUCAGGGGAUCAAGCCCAUGAGCAGCUUGGGCGUGAUAUCAGGGGAUCAAGCCCAUGAGCAGCUUGGGCGUGAUAUCAGGGAAUCAAGCCUGCAGGAGGGGGAAAACAAAACGGGAGUCAAUCAAAGGAAAUUGUAUGGCUAUAUUAAAGGGGAUUUCUACUAACCGUUGAAAACAAAGCAGGAAUUCGCUGGAUUCAAUCCACCUAAUAAGGCACGGUCGUCCUUUAAUUGAUCUAAAUGGCUGGAAAGGAGAUUGUCAGAUUGGAUCCGGUCGCCAUUAACGGAAGCUUCAGAUUGGGGAAACGAAAGAGGCGGAGAGAAUAAUGAAGCAUCCGCUGUUCGCCGUGGGUGUCGGUCGAGGCGACGAGGCGUUGCGUUGGUCGCUGCUGUCGGCUGCCCUCGAUUGCCGAUUGGGCCUGUACUAAUGGGCUAAUUACUAGAGAAUAAAG
rnacentral:lncRNA from 1 species